CAAGAACAUUGGAGUGGGUUGCCAUUUCCUUUUCCAGGGGAUUUUCCCAACCCAGUGAUCAAAUCCAUGUCUCUUGCAUCUUCUGCAUUGGUAGAUUCUUUACCAUUUACCACCAGGGAAGCCCACUGGCAGUCCCAUAAUGAAAAUAGGUAGAGGAAAAAGCCUUCCUCCCCAACAGUUUGAUGAUGAAGAUGCAAUUGUUGAGACCCAUUGAUCACUCUGGAAAUUGCAGUUAAGAUUUUGGGACCUCUGACCAAGCAGAAAAAAAGUAUCUUUCCUUACAAGUCAGACUCCUAGAUUUCUGCUCAGGGACCAAGUGAGCAAAGCUCUUAUAGCCAGAUCUUGGCUGAAGUGCUUUGUCUUCCUGAAAACGGACUGUCUCAGAGACUCAAGAAAAGGACUAUAACAGGUACUCUGAGGUACAAGCAUCUAAUGGUAUUGCUUAAAUAACUUUAAGAUCAUACACUGGAUUAAGUAUGAAUUUCCACAACUAAUGGAAAAGCUAAUGAGUUCAUAAAACCACUAACCCAAGAUCAAACAGAAUAAGAAUUAAUUAUGUGGAACUGAAAGAAUUGAUGAAGAA
ensembl:lncRNA